rnacentral:rRNA from 1 species
CGGGUAGCGGAACACGUACGCAACCUUCCUUUAACUGGAGGAUAGCCCCUCGAAAGAGGGAUUAAUACUCCGCAACAUAAUGAUAAGGCAUCUUAUUAUUAUUAUAGCUCCGGCGGUUAAAGAUGGGCGUGCGACUGAUUAGAUAGUUGGCGGGGUAACGGCCCACCAAGUCUGCGAUCAGUAACUGGUGUGAGAGCACGACCAGUCACACGGGCACUGAGACACGGGCCCG